rnacentral:rRNA from 1 species
CCUACGGGAGGCAGCAGUGGGGGAUAUUGCACAAUGGGGGAAACCCUGAUGCAGCGACGCCGCGUGGGCGAAGAAGUAUUUCGGUAUGUAAAGCCCUAUCAGCAGGGAAGAAGAAAUGACGGUACCUGAGGAAGAAGCACCAGCUAAAUACGUGCCAGUAGCCGCGGUAAUACGGAUGGUGCAGGCGUUAUCCGGAAUUACUGGGUGUAAAGGGAGCGGAGGCGGCACGGCAAGCCUGAUGUGAAAGCCCGGGGCCCAACCGCGGGACUGCAUUGGGAACUGCCGGGCUGGAGUGCCGGAGAGGUAGGCGGAAUUCCGAGUGUAGCGGUGAAAUGCGUAGAUAUUAGGAGGAACAGCAGUGGCGAAGGCGGCCUACUGGACGGUGACUGACGCUGAGGCUCGAAAGCGUGGGGAGCAAACAGGAUUAGAUACCCGAGUAGUC